GGUGGCCUUGUGGUUAGAGCAUCCAUCACGGAUGUGGAAGGUCAUGGGUUCGAAUCCCGGCUGAAUCA